UACAGAGGGUGCGAGCGUUAAUCGGAAUUACUGGGCGUAAAGCGCACGUAGGCGGCUUGGUAUGUCGGGUGUGAAAUCCCCGGGCUCAACCUGGGAACUGCAUCCGAAACUGCCUUGCUCGAGUAUGGGAGAGGGAAGUGGAAUUCCAGGUGUAGCGGUGAAAUGCGUAGAUAUCUGGAGGAACACCGGUGGCGAAGGCGGCAUCCUGGACCAAUAUUGACGCUGAGGAGCGAAAGCCAGGGGAGCAAACGGG
rnacentral:rRNA from 1 species